CUUUGACUACUACCAGUGCAGAUGGGAAGUGGUUUUCCCAUAACUUUGACUUUGGAAAAUGAGAAAGUUGUGGGGUGCCAAUUUGGGACCCUGCAAUGGACACAGAUAGGCAAAAUGGUUUUCUCGGAGGGACAGUUUGGUCAUUAUUUUAGUAGUGUAUAGAGAUUGACAAUGUCCCAAACAGUAUAUAGAACUGGAGUGCUUACAAUGGCCAUAUAAAUGGUGCUUUCUUAUUGGCAGUUUUUCAACCACGCAACCACUUUCCUUCCAAUUAAAGUGUCGGCGAGAUUGGAACAAAAGCUUUGUGGGUAAAUCAUCUAAAUGUUCGUCUGCAAACAAAAUUAAACAAAGAGUGUGACUGGAUGCACCGCUUUCGACUGCACAAAUUGCGGCAAGAAAGGAUUUUCUGCGAAAGUUUUUCCAAAAGAUCCCGCACGUCGUAAACUUUAGAAAACAACAGUUAAAAGGAAAACGGGAAAGUAACCAUUGGCUGUUAUUUAAUGGAGUAUUAACAAUCAGCUAUGUACGUAAAGUUUUUAUUUUGUAUUUGGAUGAUAUAUUUCUUAGUAAAACAGUCCAAAUUGCUUAAAA